rnacentral:rRNA from 1 species
CGUGUCUAAGACUAGCCAUGCACGUCUAAGUACAAACUAAAUGAUGGUGAAACUGCAAAUGGCUCAUUACAACGGUUAUGAUGUACCCGGGAGUUCCGAUGGAUAUUUCCAGUAACACUAGAACUAAUACAUGUCCCUGCGUUUAUUAGUUUCGCACAGUCCGUCGCUGAGUCAUGGUAAACAGUUGAUCGACUCGACGUCCCGGAACAGUUUCCGCCCCAUCAGCUUCGAUGGUUGGGUAUUGGCCUACCAUUGCAACAACGGGUAACGAGGAAUUAGGGUUUGAUUUCGGAGAGGGAGCCUGAGAAACGGCUACCACAUCUACGGAUGGCAGCAGGCGCGCAAAUUACCCAAUGCAGACACUGUGAGGUAGUGACGAGAAAUAAUAAAGCGGGACUUCUGUUUCGCUAUUAUAAUGAGGAAUAACCAAAGGUCAUUCCGAUUAGCAACUGAUGGGAAAGUCUGGUGCCAGCAGCCGCGGUAAUACCAGCGUCAGUAGC